AAUAUUGGACAAUGGGGGCAACCCUGAUCCAGCCAUGCCGCGUGUGUGAAGAAGGUCUUCGGAUUGUAAAGCACUUUAAGUUGGGAGGAAGGGCUGUAGGCUAAUACCCUGAAGUUUUGACGUUACCAACAGAAUAAGCACCGGCUAACUCUGUGCCAGCAGCCGCGGUAAUAACGAGGGUGGAAGCGUUAAUCGGAAUUACUGGGCGUAAAGCACGCGUAGGUGGUUUGGUAAGUUGGGUGUGAAAUCCCCGGGCUUAACCUGGGAACUGCUUUCAAAACUGGUAAGCUAGAGUACGGUAGAGGGUAGUGGAAUUUCCAGUGUAGCGGUGAAAUGCGUAGAUAUAGGAAGGAACACCAGUGGCGAAGGCGACUAACUGGCCUGAUACUGACACUGAGGUGCGAAAGCGUGGGGAGCAAACA
rnacentral:rRNA from 1 species